GGCCUGGUAGCGGAUGGUUUGCGCAGCUGCCCUCGAUUCGGCGGAUGACAACACCUUUGUCCGCAGGACGUCGCUCGUUCGAUUCGAGCCCAGGCCG